rnacentral:rRNA from 1 species
UACGGAGGGGGCUAGCGUUGUUCGGAAUUACUGGGCGUAAAGCGCGCGUAGGCGGCUUUGUAAGUUAGAGGUGAAAGCCCGGAGCUCAACUCCGGAACUGCCUUUAAGACUGCAUCGCUUGAAUCCAGGAGAGGUGAGUGGAAUUCCGAGUGUAGAGGUGAAAUUCGUAGAUAUUCGGAAGAACACCAGUGGCGAAGACGGCUCACUGGACUGGUAUUGACGCUGAGGUGCGAAAGCGUGGGGAGCAAACAGG